UAAAUAAAACUGUUUUAAUAUUGGAAGCCAACCUGCCUCAGUGUGCAUCCUUGAAUCUGUGCGGUCUUCUUUUAUUCCUUUUCUUUAUUUUUCUUAAAUAUAUUUCCUGGGGGUGUAAUUCCCCUAGGUGGCGUUGUCAAGUUUAUUUAUUUUGUUCAUAACCCCGCCGACCACUUGGUCACACUUACUCCAAAUACACUGACGAUGUCUACAGCCCCUUCCCUCUAAGCCCCGUGCUGCCACACAAUCCAGAAAGUGUCCCAGUGGCUGAUUCUCAAAGGAUAAAGGUUUGAGGUCAACUUGAUGAGCUGAGCCUGGGCCUCCAUGCAUCAUGUGGUCAUUAAAUGCACUAUAACAACAAAA